UGGGGAAUAUUGCACAAUGGGGGAAACCCUGAUGCAGCGACGCCGCGUGAGCGAUGAAGUAUUUCGGUAUGUAAAGCUCUAUCAGCAGGGAAGAAAGUGACGGUACCUGACUAAGAAGCCCCGGCUAACUACGUGCCAGCAGCCGCGGUAAUACGUAGGGGGACAAGCGUUAUCCGGAUUUACUGGGUGUAAAGGGAGCGUAGACGGAAGUGCAAGUCUGAAGUGAAAGCCCGGGGACUCAACCCCAGGGCACUGCUUUGGAAAUCUGUAUUUUACUAGAGUGCUGGAGAGGUAAGCGGAAUUCCUAGUGUAGCGGUGAAAUGCGUAGAUAUUAGGAGGAACACCAGUGGCGAAGGCGGCUUACUGGACAGUGACUGACGUUGAGGCUCGAAAGCGUGGGGAGCAAACAGGAUUAGAUACCC
rnacentral:rRNA from 1 species